rnacentral:rRNA from 1 species
GACGAACGCUGGCGGCGUGCUUAACACAUGCAAGUCGAACGGGCCCGCCCCUGUUUUUGGGGGUGGGUUGAGUGGCGAACGGGUGAGUAUCACGUGAGUAACCUGCCCCCUGCUCCUGGAUAACUGCUUGAAAGGGCGGCUAAUACGGGGUGUGCCGGCUGGUCCGCAUGGGCCUGGUCGGGAUAGUUUCAUCUUCGGGUGUUUCGGUGGGGGAUGGGCUCGCGGCCUAUCAGCUUGUUGGUGGGGUGAUGGCCCACCCAGGCAGUGACGGGUAGCCGGCCUGAGAGGGUGGGCGGCCACGCUGGGACUGAGACACGGCCCAGACUCCUGCGGGAGGCAGCGGUGGGGGGUAUUGAACAAUGGGCGGAAGCCUGAGGCAGCGACGUCGCGUGAGGGAUGGAGGCCUUCGGGUUGUGAACCUCUUUCUCCGGUGGUGAAGGCCCUGUCCGUUGCGGCGGGGUUGACGGUAGCCGGGUAUGAAGCGCCGGCUAACUACGUG